CCUACGGGUGACUGCAGUGGGGGAUAUUGCACAAUGGGGGGAACCCUGAUGCAGCGACGCCGCGUGGGUGAAGAAGCGCCUCGGCGCGUAAAGCCCUGUCAGCAGGGAAGAAAAUGACGGUACCUGAAGAACAAUCCCCGGCUAACUACGUGCCAGCCGCCGCGGUACUACGUAGGGGGCAAGCGUUAUCCGGAUUUACUGGGUGUAAAGGGGGCGCAGACGGCGAUGCAAGCCAGGAGUGAAAGCCCGGGGCCCAACCCCGGGACUGCUCUUGGAACUGCGGGGCUGGAGUGCAGGAGGGGCAGGCGGAAUUCCUGGUGUAGCGGUGAAAUGCGUAGAUAUCAGGAGGAACACCGGUGGCGAAGGCGGCCUGCUGGACUGCAACUGACGUUGAGGCCCGAAAGCGUGGGGAGCGAACAGGAUUAGAUACCCUUGUAGUC
rnacentral:rRNA from 1 species